rnacentral:lncRNA from 1 species
CGUCCUUGUGCCGUCGUGGACGUCUCCGUUUUUGGGCUCUUAUUGCAAAACUUCAAGUUCAGCAGCGGAGAGAUCAUUUCCUGCCGCAGCGCGAGUCGUUCAGCCCCGUCGCGUUGCGCAGCGUUACCUCCAGCCAACGCUUGGAACGCAUUUGCAGGGAUACAGACAUGUUACGCUCCAUUUCUUUAUAUAUUUAUUAAUUUCCUUUCCUUCACUGAUCCGUGCGCGUCGCUCAGCGAAUGCAAGCUGAGCAGAAAGGGAACAGCACCCCGGCACAAUUCGAGUCGGUUCAUCGCUGUCUACGGCUUGGGUCCGGCGUUCAGUCACGACCGAAUAUACAUCAGAGAUUUUUAAGGAACCGAUCCCACAUAGUAAUGUCUGUAUUACUAGGAUGGAUGGAUGGAUGGAUGGAUGGAUGGAUGGACGGACGGACGGACGGAUGGACGGAUGCCUGGUGGUGCCAACAAGGCCGUGUUACUAAAGAUGCCGGUGGACCAACCCUGCGUUUGCGUGGACCCAGGACCCUUUAGUGUUUAAGGGCCCUGGGUUACUGUCGCAAAUUGUGCUCCCAGCACUGCCGUUGCAACAUGUGCCAUUAUGUGAGACGAAAAAACACAGAGGCAGUAAAACGUAUCCCAAAAUACCUCACAUAAAAAGUGAAGUGACACACACCGCACUUGUUCUUUGCUGGUGGAAUUUUGCCCUGUCGCACACUAAACGUUUCGUUAAAAUAUGAAAUCCGGACAAAUGGCGUUCGGUACGGAUGAUCCUGUACGAGAAGCGAAAAGCUGGUUUUCACGGUCACUGGACCUUCUGCAAUUCGACUGAUUUCUCAACCUGUAUCAUGCGGAACAUAAAUUUUCUCAAACCUAAACUGAAAAAUGUCGAAAUACGAACUGUCUUGUAUGACGGCUCUCGCUGUUGCCAUCGUUUACUAUAAUUACCGCGAUUAUUCCAGAUCGGCCAAGAAACGUAGUUAUAUAGCUACCGCAGUGUCUAACCAUUGCACCUCUUGAAGAUAUUUUUAAACUCUGCCCGACAAGCUCUGUAAAACACUUCAACAAAUUAAAGGAGGCCAUAAAAUCCCAAAUCUGAGAUCUAAACAAUCUUCACUGCGCGGUGGAAAAAAAAUCCACGACAGGAAUGAUGCAAUGUUGCACUGGCAGUUUCGCAGCAUUACAACUUCCCAGUUGCUACAUGUCACUCUUUUUCAUUAUAAAACGCAUAAAAGCGGGUCAUACGGAGGAAUCUGUUUGUUUUUCAAAAGAAAAAUAAACCGCAGAUUUAUUAUUUGAAUGAAAAAACU